AGAAUCAACGCUGGCGGCGUGCCUAACACAUGCAAGUCGAACGAGAAAGUGGUAGCAAUACCAUGAGUAAAGUGGCGCACGGGUGAGUAACACGUGACUAACCUACCCUGGAGUGGGGGAUAACUGAGGGAAACCUUAGCUAAUACCGCAUAAUACCCACGGGUCAAAGGAGCAAUUCGCUCUGGGAGGGGGUCGCGGCCGAUUAGUUAGUUGGCGGGGUAAUGGCCCACCAAGACAGUGAUCGGUAUCCGGCCUGAGAGGGCGCACGGACACACUGGAACUGAAACACGGUCCAGACUCCUACGGGAGGCAGCAGUGGGGAAUUUUGCGCAAUGGGGGAAACCCUGACGCAGCAACGCCGCGUGGAGGAUGAAGUCCUUCGGGACGUAAACUCCUUUCGAUCGGGAAGAUUAUGACGGUACCGAUAUAAGAAGCCCCGGCUAACUUCGUGCCAGCAGCCGCGGUAAUACGAGGGGGGCGAGCGUUGUUCGGAAUUAUUGGGCGUAAAGGGUGCGUAGGCGGUUUGGCAAGUCUUAUGUGAAAUCUAUGGGCUCAACCCAUAGCCUGCAUGAGAAACUGCCGGGCUUGAGUAUGGGAGAGGUGAGUGGAAUUUCCGGUGUAGCGGUGAAAUGCGUAGAUAUCGGAAGGAACACCUGUGGCGAAAGCGGCUCACUGGACCAUAACUGACGCUGAGGCACGAAAGCUAGGGGAGCAAACAGGAUUAGAUACCCUGGUAGUCCUAGCCCUAAACGAUGAUUGCUUGGUGUGACGGGUACCCAAUCCCGCCGUGCCGUAGCUAACGCGUUAAGCAAUCCGCCUGGGGGGUACGGUCGCAAGGCUGAA
rnacentral:rRNA from 1 species